GGCCGGCUGGCGCAAUGGUAGCGCGUCAGACUUCUAUCAUCUCCUGAGAGAUGUAGUGAUCUGAAGGCUGCGGGUUCGAGCCCCGCGUUGGUCA
rnacentral:tRNA from 1 species